rnacentral:rRNA from 1 species
AGUGAACCACCUGAUCCCUUCGCGAACUCAGAAGUGAAACCUCUUAGCGCUGUUGGUAGUGUGGGAUUACCCAUGUGAGAGUAUGUCAUCGCCAGCU